rnacentral:rRNA from 1 species
UACGUAGGGCGCAAGCGUUGUCCGGAAUUAUUGGGCGUAAAGAGCUCGUAGGCGGUUUGUCGCGUCUGCUGUGAAAACCCGAGGCUCAACCUCGGGCCUGCAGUGGGUACGGGCAGACUAGAGUGUGGUAGGGGAGACUGGAAUUCCUGGUGUAGCGGUGGAAUGCGCAGAUAUCAGGAGGAACACCAAUGGGCGAAGGCAGGUCUCUGGGCCACAACUGACGC